rnacentral:rRNA from 1 species
UACGUAGGGUGCGAGCGUUGUCCGGAUUUAUUGGGCGUAAAGGGCUCGUAGGCGGCGUGUCGCGUCGGGAGUGAAAGCCCGUUGCUUAACGGCGGGUUGGCUUUCGGUACGGGCAUGCUGGAGUGCGGCAGGGGAGACUGGAAUUCCUGGUGUAGCGGCGGAAUGCGCAGAUAUCAGGAGGAACACCGAUGGCGAAGGCAGGUCUCUGGGCUGUAACUGACGCUGAGGAGCGAAAGCAUGGGGAGCGAACAGG